rnacentral:rRNA from 1 species
GUGGGGAAUAUUGGACAAUGGGCGAAAGCCUGAUCCAGCCAUGCCGCGUGUGUGAAGAAGGUCUUCGGAUUGUAAAGCACUUUAAGUUGGGAGGAAGGGCAGUAAGUUAAUACCUUGCUGUUUUGACGUUACCAACAGAAUAAGCACCGGCUAACUUCGUGCCAGCAGCCGCGGUAAUACGUAGGGUGCAAGCGUUAAUCGGAAUUACUGGGCGUAAAGCGUGCGCAGGUGGUUUUGUAAGUUGGAGGUGAAAUCCCCGGGAUCAACCUGGGAACUGCCUCCAAAACUGCAUGACUAGAGUACGGUAGAGGGUAGUGGAAUUUCCUGUGUAGCGGUGAAAUGCGUAGAUAUAGGAAGGAACACCAGUGGCGAAGGCGACUACCUGGACUGAUACUGACACUGAGGUGCGAAAGCGUGGGGAGCAAACAGGAUUAGAAACCCUGGUAGUCC